AAUCAACGCUGGCGGCGUGCCUCAGACAUGCAAGUCGAACGAUUAAGAUUUCCUUCGGGAAGUGCAUAAAGUGUCGCACGGUUGAGUAACACGUAAGUAAUCUACCCUCUAGUGGGGAAUAACGUUCGGAAAAGAACGCUAAUACCGCAUAAUGCAGCGGCAUCGCAAGAUGACAGAUGUUAAUGGAGUAACUAGCUUGGGGAGGAGCUUGAGGAAGAUUAGUUAGUUGGUAAGGUAACGGCUUACCAAGGCUACGAUCUGUCUCCGGUCUAAGAGGACGGUCGGACACACUGACACUGAAUAACGGGUCAGACUCCUACGGGAGGCAGCAGUCGGGAAUUUUGGGCAAUGGGCGAAAGCCUGACCCAGCAACGCCGCGUGAAGGAUGAAGUAUUUCGGUAUGUAAACUUCGAAAGAAUGGGAAGAAUAAAUGACGGUACCAUUUAUAAGCUCCGGCUAACUACGUGCCAGCCGCCGCAGUAAGAC
rnacentral:rRNA from 1 species